UUCUUUGUGUGUGGGUGUGUGUGUGUAAGUGAGUGUGUGAGAAAGACAGAGAGAGAGACUCACAUUAAUAAAUGCCAUACAGUUGUUGUUAAUGUAAUUUAAUAUAAUUAAUGUUAAUAACUGAAACCUUAUUGGAAGUGUUACUCAAGUUUUAUAUAUUGUGUUGUGUGUGUCGCUUGAUGGUUUGGAUUAACCCUUUCAUUGCUGUAUCCCUUAAAUCCAAACUGCUAAAUUAAGUGUGCCCAAUCCUGUUCCUGGCGAUCGACUGUCCUGAAAAGUUCAGAUCCAACUCUAAUCAGUCACACCUACCUUUAAUUUUCAAGCAAUCCUGAAGACAUUAAUUAGUUGCUUCAGGUGUGUUUGAGUAGGGUUGGAGCUAAACUUUGCAGGACAGUCGAUCGCCAUUAACAGGGUUGGACACCCCUGUGCUAGAGGGUUAUUGUGUAUGUCUCCACUGGGCACACUUUGACUGAUGGCACCGGGGUGGCGUUUGCGCUGACGGCUCGGGCCCGCCAUCGCUGCUUGCAGCUAUAUUUAUUAUUAUUAUUAUUAUUAUUAUUAUUUUUUUCCAACGUCUCGGGGGCUUUUGGGGCCCUUAACAUACUCGAAAACUCUUGAAAAUUGGCACACACAUUGGAACCUGCGGCCAUUAGGGCCGGGCAGAGACUGAUACACGGGCGUGGCACAGGGGCUCUACAGCGCCCCCUGGAAUUUGGAGGGCCAUAUAUCAUACAUACUUGCACGUAGACGUAUGAAACUCGGUACACAUAUAGAUCUCAUCAAGCCAAACAACUUUCGUACUCCAUGUCAUAGGCUCCGCCCCAACAGGAAGUUGGUUAUUUAGGGUUUUGUAUUCUUAUUUUCCGUCAAAGUUUUGGGGGCUUUUGGGGCCCUUAACAUGCUCAAAAAC
ensembl:lncRNA